AACGAACGCUGGCGGCAUGCCUAACACAUGCAAGUCGAACGAGACCUUCGGGUCUAGUGGCGCACGGGUGCGUAACGCGUGGGAACCUGCCUUUAGGUUCGGAAUAACUCAGAGAAAUUUGAGCUAAUACCGGAUAAUGUCUUCGGACCAAAGAUUUAUCGCCUUUAGAUGGGCCCGCGUAAGAUUAGCUAGUUGGUGGGGUAAAGGCCUACCAAGGCGACGAUCUUUAGCUGGUCUGAGAGGAUGAUCAGCCACACUGGGACUGAGACACGGCCCAGACUCCUACGGGAGGCAGCAGUGGGGAAUAUUGGACAAUGGGCGAAAGCCUGACGCAGCGACGCCGCGUGGGUGAUGAAGGCCU
rnacentral:rRNA from 1 species